UACGUAGGGGGCAAGCGUUGUCCGGAAUCAUUGGGCGUAAAGCGCGUGUAGGCGGCUCGAUAAGUCUGCUGUGAAAGUCCAGGGCUCAACCCUGGGAUGCCGGUGGAUACUGUCGAGCUCGAGUCCGGAAGAGGCGAGUGGAAUUCCUGGUGUAGCGGUGAAAUGCGCAGAUAUCAGGAGGAACACCAACGGCGAAAGCACUCUGCUGGGCCGACACUGACACUGAGAGACGAAAGCUAGGGGAGCGAAUGGG
rnacentral:rRNA from 1 species